rnacentral:tRNA from 1 species
GGCUCGUUGGUCUAGGGGUAUGAUUCUCGCCUGGUGUGUGAGGUCCCGGUUCAAAUCCCGGAUGCGCCA